CCAGACUCCUACGGGAGGCAGCAGUGGGGAAUAUUGCACAAUGGGGGAAACCCUGAUGCAGCAACGCCGCGUGAGUGAAGAAGUCAUUCGUGAUGUAAAGCUCUAUCAGCAGGGAAGAAAAUGACGGUACCUGAGUAAGAAGCCCCGGCUAACUACGUGCCAGCAGCCGCGGUAAUACGUAGGGGGCUAGCGUUAUCCGGAAUUACUGGGCGUAAAGGGUGCGUAGGUGGUUUCUUAAGUCAGAGGUGAAAGGCUACGGCUCAACCGUAGUAAGCCUUUGAAACUGGGGAACUUGAGUGCAGGAGAGGAGAGUGGAAUUCCUAGUGUAGCGGUGAAAUGCGUAGAUAUUAGGAGGAACACCAGUGGCGAAGGCGGCCUGCUGGACGACAACUGACGGUGAGGCGCGAAAGCGUGGGGAGCAAACAGGAUUAGAUACCCGUGUA
rnacentral:rRNA from 1 species